rnacentral:RNase_MRP_RNA from 1 species
AGCACAGUUAUGCAAAUGGCGGCCUGUUGCAUUUGUAGCAGGUCACGCUAACUCAACGGGGCUUAUGUUCGUG